rnacentral:rRNA from 1 species
UGGGGAAUUUUCCGCAAUGGGCGAGAGCCUGACGGAGCAACGCCGCGUGAGGGAGGACGGCCUGUGGGUUGUAAACCUCUUUUCUCAGGGAAGAAGAUCUGACGGUACCUGAGGAAUCAGCAUCGGCUAACUCCGUGCCAGCAGCCGCGGUAAGACGGAGGAUGCAAGCGUUAUCCGGAAUUAUUGGGCGUAAAGCGUCCGUAGGUGGCAUAGAAAGUCUGCUGUCAAAGCUCAAAGCUCAACUGUGAAUCGGCGGUGGAAACUACUAAGCUAGAGUGUGGUAGGGGUAGAGGGAAUUCCUAGUGUAGCGGUGAAAUGCGUAGAUAUUAGGAAGAACACCAGUGGCGAAGGCGCUCUACUGGGCCAUAACUGACACUGAUGGGCGAAAGCUAGUGGAGCGAAAGGGAUUAGAUACCCCCGUAGUCC